ACUAACAAAAGUUAAGUGGAAGCAGACCUCAACAGAUAGCGGUGGGGUAUAUUCCACCUUUGUCAUGAUUUGGACCUUUGUUUUUUCUAAUUUUGGCCAUCACUGCUAUUAAUUAUUGCUUAAAUUAGACCCAGAGAGACUUCUGAUCAGCCAUUUUGGAUAGUUUAACUAAUUUAUCAAGCAAAUUGCCAAACUCUGUCUCAUUUUUCUCAUCAGAUGUGAUGAUUUGCUGUAUUUCUUAGGUGCAGCUUAUGGUUUUAAAUUGAUGAUCUGACCAAGAAAUUAGUUUGAGCAUCGCUUUGGAGCCAAAAAAAGAUUCUGAUUGGCAUUUUAAGCUAAAUAAUUUAUUAUUAAUUGAUAAAAUAGAUGCAUUGACACUGGAUCUCGGACUUCACAGUGCCGUACAUGCAGAAUUUAAAGCUGUGUGAGGAACAAAAGAAGAAGAGCAGAAUCUGAAGGCUGCAUCCUCUUCCCUGCAUUCGAGCCUUCAUCUGCUUCCUGUGGAGACUUUAUGAUUCUGUUUCCCAUUUGCACUCUCAGUAAAAAGAGGUCAGAGAUGCCACAGCAUGGACAGCUUCCUCUGCUCGCCUCUUUCACAAAAGCUCUACCUCAUCAGAGCACUGACCUCAAACACUUCUCCCAGGGCUACAAACAUGCCUCGUCAGAGACUGGAGAUCCUUUAAAGUCAAGAGAUAAUAAGGGGUGUGUUAAAAAGUUACAAAGCUCUUAUGGUGCAGUCAGACCCAAACUCAGAGUCAAUACACAUGUUCUCGAAUUACAGCACAUAUUUGUGUCGGACUGAAUUUCAAAAUGCAAAAAUUGUCCAGCUGUUUGAGAGGAGGUGGUGAACAAUCUCCAAUUCUUUUCUGUUUCUGUUCUUGUUUUUGAAAUUCACAGCACAAUCAUACAAGCAGCAGAGAAGAAGUGAAGCUGUUUGGCUGCAGUGAGAGUGAAGAUGGGGACAGAAGUUAACAAGAGAGGAAUGCUUGAUGAAAUGCUGCAUAAUUUACCACCUUGUGGACGUCUGUUGUUAACCUCAUUGAUUUGCAGUUUAGUCCUCCACUUGGUAUUCUACUUAGCUGGUUGCUGUGAUGUAAUAAACAUUUUUACAAACAUGUGAA